GAUGAACGCUAGCUACAGGCUUAACACAUGCAAGUUGAGGGGCAGCACAGUGUAGCAAUACAUGGGUGGCGACCGGCGCACGGGUGCGUAACGCGUAUCCAACUUUCCCGUUACUCAGGGAUAGCCUUCCGAAAGGGAGAUUAAUACCUGAUGGUGUUUGAAAUUCGCAUGUUCUUCAAACUAAAGAUUUAUCGGUAACGGAUAGGGAUGCGUGACAUUAGAUAGUAGGCGGGGUAACGGCCCACCUAGUCUACGAUGUCUAGGGGUUCUGAGAGGAAGGUCCUCCACACUGGAACUGAGACACGGUCCAGACUCCUACGGGAGGCAGCAGUGAGGAAUAUUGGUCAAUGGUCGGAAGACUGAACCAGCCAAGUAGCGUGAAGGAUGAAGGUUCUAUGGAUUGUAAACUUCUUUUAUACGGGAAUAAAGCCCGCUACGUGUAGCGGUUUGUAUGUACCGUAUGAAUAAGCAUCGGCUAACUCCGUGCCAGCCGCCGCAGUAAUAC
rnacentral:rRNA from 1 species